AUUGAACGCUGGCGGCAGGCCUAACACAUGCAAGUCGAGCGGAUGAAGGGAGCUUGCUCCUGGAUUCAGCGGCGGACGGGUGAGUAAUGCCUAGGAAUCUGCCUGGUAGUGGGGGAUAACGUCCGGAAACGGGCGCUAAUACCGCAUACGUCCUGAGGGAGAAAGGGGGGGAUCUUCGGACCUCACGCUAUCAGAUGAGCCCAGGUCGGAUUAGCUAGUUGGUGGGGUAAAGGCCUACCAAGGCGACGAUCCGUAACUGGUCUGAGAGGAUGAUCAGUCACACUGGAACUGAGACACGGUCCAGACUCCUACGGGAGGCAGCAGUGGGGAAUAUUGGACAAUGGGCGAAAGCCUGAUCCAGCCAUGCCGCGUGUGUGAAGAAGGUCUUCGGAUUGUAAAGCCCUUUAAGUUGGGAGGAAGGGCAGUAAGUUAAUACCUUGCUGUUUUGACGUUACCAACAGAAUAAGCACCGGCUAACUUCGUG
rnacentral:rRNA from 1 species